GUUUACAGCAAAGGCAUUACUCUAACACAUUAUGUAAUUGCCAAGCAUAUGUAAACAAUUAAUAAUUAAGGUAUGUGAUAAUCAUUCAUUGGCCAAGUGUAAAGUAUUCAAAGUACUUGGCAUGCACCCAUUGGUUUGCUUAAUGCUACUGGCAUAGGAAAUAAUUAUUUAUUUAUUUUGAUUAGGACAUUCUAAGAACUAUUUCAUUUGUGUUAAUAUAUGCAACUGGUUUUUUUUAGACUCUAUCUAAGUCACUAAGUGGUAUGUGCUAGAAAUUGAUAUAGAUAUCUUGUAUUGUAGCACAUCUGAAAUUAAAUCAACUUCUGUAGAAUGAAAGUGAUCCAAUA
rnacentral:misc_RNA from 1 species